UACGGAGGGUGCAAGCGUUGUCCGGAAUCACUGGGCGUAAAGGGCGCGUAGGCGGCUCAUGAAGGCUGUGGUGAAAGUCCGGGGCUCAACCUCGGAUCGGCCGUGGCGACUCGUGGGCUGGAGCACUGUAGAGGCGGGUGGAAUUCCGGGUGUAGCGGUGGAAUGCGUAGAGAUCCGGAAGAACACCAGUGGCGAAGGCGGCCCGCAGGGCAGUGGCUGACGCUGAGGCGCGACAGCGUGGGGAGCAAACAGG
rnacentral:rRNA from 1 species